rnacentral:tRNA from 1 species
GCGGAUGUGGCGGAAUUGGCAGACGCACUAGACUUAGGAUCUAGCGCCAUUGGCGUGGGGGUUCGACUCCUAUUACCGCU